AGUGGGGAAUAUUGCACAAUGGGCGCAAGCCUGAUGCAGCGACGCCGCGUGAGGGAUGACGGCCUUCGGGUUGUAAACCUCUUUCAAUAGGGACGAAGCGCGAGUGACGGUACCUAUAGAAGAAGCACCGGCCAACUACGUGCCAGCAGCCGCGGUAAUACGUAGGGUGCGAGCGUUGUCCGGAAUUACUGGGCGUAAAGAGCUCGUAGGUGGUUUGUCGCGUUGUCCGUGAAAACUCACAGCUUAACUGUGGGCGUGCGGGCGAUACGGGCAGACUGGAGUACUGCAGGGGAGACUGGAAUUCCUGGUGUAGCGGUGGAAUGCGCAGAUAUCAGGAGGAACACCGGUGGCGAAGGCGGGUCUCUGGGCAGUAACUGACGCUGAGGAGCGAAAGCGUGGGGAGCGAA
rnacentral:rRNA from 2 species